rnacentral:rRNA from 1 species
UACGGGGGGGGCAAGCGUUGUUCGGAAUUACUGGGCGUAAAGGGCGCGUAGGCGGCCUGUUAAGUCGAACGUGAAAUCCCCGGGCUCAACCCGGGAACUGCGUCCGAUACUGGCAGGCUUGAAUCCGGGAGAGGGAUGUGGAAUUCCAGGUGUAGCGGUGAAAUGCGUAGAUAUCUGGAGGAACACCGGUGGCGAAGGCGGCAUCCUGGACCGGUAUUGACGCUGAGUCGCGAAAUCCAGGGGAGCAAACGGG